AUUGAACGCUGGCGGCAUGCCUUACACAUGCAAGUCGAACGGUAACAGGUUAAGCUGACGAGUGGCGAACGGGUGAGUAAUAUAUCGGAACGUGCCCAGUCGUGGGGGAUAACGUAGCGAAAGCUACGCUAAUACCGCAUACGAUCUACGGAUGAAAGCGGGGGAUCGCAAGACCUCGCGCGAUUGGAGCGGCCGAUAUCAGAUUAGGUUGAUGGUGAGGUAAAAGCUCACCAAGCCUGCGAUCUGUAGCUGGUUUGAGAGGACGACCAGCCACACUGGAACUGAGACACGGUCCAGACUCCUACGGGAGGCAGCAGUGGGGAAUUUUGGACAAUGGACGCAAGUCUGAUCCAGCAAUGCCGCGUGCAGGACGAAGGCCUUCGGGUUGUAAACUGCUUUUGUACGGAACGAAACGGUGAGCUCUAAUAUAGUUUGCUAAUGACGGUACCGUAAGAAUAAGCACCGGCUAACUACGUGCCAGCCGCCGCCGUAA
rnacentral:rRNA from 1 species